rnacentral:tRNA from 1 species
GCCGUGGCUCAGUGGUAGAGCCUCUUGAGACGCAGAAGGUCCCAGGUUCAAGCCCUGGUACCUGUAGUUAAACA